rnacentral:rRNA from 1 species
UACGGGGGGGGUAAGCGUUGUUCGGAAUUACUGGGCGUAAAGGGCUCGUAGGCGGCCAACUAAGUCAGACGUGAAAUCCCCAGGCUCAACCUGGGAACUGCGUCUGAUACUGGAUGGCUUGAAUCCGGGAGAGGGAUGCAGAAUUCCAGGUGUAGCGGUGAAAUGCGUAGAUAUCGGAAGGAACAUCAGUGGCGAAAGCGGCUUCCUGGACCAGUACCGACGUUCAGGCACGAAAGCGUGGGAGCAAACAGG